AUUAAAAUGCAAGCGAUAUAAGCAGAGUGAGUGGAGUCUUGAGUCCUACAUUUUAAGUUAGACUAAGGACUAAUUUCCUACUCAUAAAUGGACUGCGAAUAACAGAAUCAACCCUCCUCACCCCUCCCGUGUGGGGAGGGGAAGAGGCAAGGUCUACAAAGAAGGAAAGCAGAAGUGGAAAUUUCCUGAUUUAGGGAAAGAGAGGUAUUCUUUAAUCCACACCAUCUGGUUUUGUUUAAUUUUAAUCUUUUGCGUUUAUAGCUUUAAAGUCUGCCCAAUGUGUUCAGGGAAAGAGAUCAGAGAAUUAUCAUGGGAUCCUUGUUUCCACCUGCCCUUAUUUUGUGAUUCGCAUCAUUACCACAAUCAUCUUUAUUAUCAUUUAUGGAACACUUACCAUAUGCCAAGUCCAUUGCUAAGCACUUUACAACUCAUUUUAUAAUCUAAAAACCGCAAAGUAAUAUUAACCCAUCCUCAGUUGAGGAAACUGAGGCUUAAGAAUGUUUAAAGAUGAAGGGAUUUCUGAGAUAAAGUAAAUGCUGCAGGCAAUAUACGAUGAGAUUAAAACAUAAAAACUCCAGAGUUAACCAAUUGGACAGUAUUUCUCAAAUUUUACUGUACAUUUAAGAAUCACAUGAAGAAAAAAUAUGUCUUAUUCUGAUCAACAGAUUCUGAUUCAAUAGGUCUGGCAUGAGGUUGGGGGUUUACUUUUUUAGUGAGUUACUUGAUGAUUUUGGUUCAAGUGACUGGGAGAUUUUACUCUGAAAAACUCUGAAAAAUAUGGAAGACUGCUGAAUUUCAGGAGGAUGGAUGAUAUGAAAAUGUAUGUGUUGUGUAUUCACUUAGAUAUUAAGUGGUUAGAGAACCUCAGAACCCACCUGGGGACACCUAAUGCACGUAACACCUUAUUCUGAUUAAACCAUAUCCUAUUUUGAUUAGUUAAAAAAAACUCUCUUUUUUAAUGAUAAACAAGGUAAUGACUUUUGUUUUCAACAACAGCAAAAAGAAAUUUAUCCAUGGUUUAAUGAAUGGUGAGAUUUGGUAUAAAACUGAUGUAAGUGCAAGUUUUUGUCACGUUAAUGAGCUAGGCCAGCUGUUAGUGGAAUGCCUUUUGUAACUGCAGGUACUCAAACGUGAAAUGGAGAAAGUCUGAAUUCUAUGCCAAGGGCUAUUGUUAUGAUGAUGGACGCUGUUGGAUCAAAGAUUUUUGGAAUUAGAACCAAAGACAAAAGGCAGAGGAAGAGAACAGAGCAAGCCAUGCUGACCUUACUGCAGCCAGGAGUCAAGCCUCAGGUUCAAAGAGCAGAAGAGAGAAAUGAAGAUGGAAGUUUUAACCAGGGCUGCACUGAGAUUUAUUUAAUACAUGAAAGUGGCCCAGAGGUCUUGUGGUUUUCUUUCCAAGAUGUCUCUAGGGGACAAGGUUCAAUGUUCCUCCAAGGACCCAUCGAUACUUAUGCCUCCUUGCUUUACUCGGAUACUCUCUCCUCUCCCCCUUGCUCCACUUAGAAAAUGCUUAUUUUGCCUCAGGUAGGCUAACUUGUAUUAUUUCAGUGUAUCAUCUCCUAAAUCUGUAACUGAUGCUUGUCCUUUGAUUUGCCUAUAGGACUAAAACUUUUGAAA